rnacentral:rRNA from 1 species
GACUUCUGGUUUAAUGCACCUGGCCCGCGGCCCACAAGGCCUGUGAGUGCCGGCGCGCGUUUACCAUCCUUCCAGCAACGGCUACCCUUAACUGGGCGGCUGGAACUGGAUCUUUUACUUUGAAAAAAUUAGAGUGUUUUAAAGCAGGCGUUUGCUCUGAAUACAUUAGCAUGGAAUAAUAAUCUAGGACUUCGGUUCUAUUUUGUUGGUUUCGAGAACUGAAGUAAUGAUUGAUAGGGAUAGUUGGGGGUGCUAGUAUUGGCCGGUCAGAGGUGAAAUUCUUGGAUUCGGUCAAGACUAACUUAUGCGAAAGCAU